GGGAGGGUAGUUUUGUGGUUAAAACUCUAGACUGUAAACCAGAAGGUCUAGGUUGAAAUCCUGGCUCUGCCA
rnacentral:tRNA from 1 species